AGCUGCAUGUGAGUGCUAUUUUUUUCUUCACGUUCGUUAUUACCAUACUCUGUUGGGCUUCUCUAAUGCAAGACUUAAGGAAAUUAUUUCUAAAGAAAAACACAUUUAAACCUUACAUGAAAACCUUACAUAGUUGUGAGGAACCAGGUUUUACCUACAUCUGGGUUGGAUGUUAUGGAGUGUUAGCGCUGGUGAAGAUGGACGCCAUGUUGGAAUCUCGGCAUUUAAUUUAUUUUUCUUGGUUUAUUUAUUUUGAAAGUUCAUCUUAUGUUAUAUUAUAAAAUUUUAUAUUGUUUAAGUUACUGAGUUUUU
rnacentral:lncRNA from 1 species